ensembl:lncRNA
UCUAAGUGAGUAUAGGUUUGAUGAAGCAGGUGGACAAUGGCGUCAUCCACUCCAAGUUGAGGCUGGUAAGCAAACUGUAACGGAUCAAGCAAGGGUUUGACAAGGGGUAAAAUGGAUCUGAGGAUCAGUCUCUCAAAAACUUUCAUUAAAUGAGAGGUCAGUGCUACUGGUCUGUAGUCAUUAGGGACACAUGGCCAUGCUACUUUUGGUACUGGCACUAACCAAGAUGUUUUCCAUAGCACUGGGACCCUCUCCAGAUGUAGGCUCAGGUUAAAGAUGUACUGUAUUGUAACAAACCACAAAGUUGUAGGGUACAGGCUUUAAGUAUUCUUGGACUGAUUCCAUCAGGGCCCACAGCCUUUGUGGAGCUAAGCCUGCUCAAUUCCCUUCUUACUUGAACCUCUGAGAUGGUGAUGGUUUCAGAGGGAUUUGGCGCAGUGGCCAGUACAUGGGUAGGAUGUACUGAUGAUUGUGUAGAGAAGUUAUAGGAGGGGAGCAUUUGAGGCUUCACAUCAAAUCUAUUAAAGAAAAGAUUGAGCUUAUAAGCAUGAUCUAUAUUGCCCUCCUACAGCUGGCUGUCAGUCUUAUUGUCACGGUUCAUAGAUCUAUGGUGUCAUCUUGUUGUCUGUGUGUAGGUUGCGGGGUGUAUCACCUGAUUGUUCUGUGUGGGCGUCGCCGCUGAUUACUGAUCAGCGGCAGCUUGGGCUUAUUACAUCUUGCCUAUUUAACGCCUUGUCUUUCAUCUCAUGUUUGUCAGAUCGUUGUUUGGAGUCCUGGUGUUUGUUCGUGUCUCUCGUGUUUGUUGUACCUGCUCUGGAUUUCUCGUCGCUGUUUCCUGUUGCCUGUCUGUUCCUGUGGAUUAUCGUUCUGAAUUCCUCGUUCAUCACUUCAGCCACGUUGACUUCACGGACACCACUCACCACGGAUCACCACUCACCACGGACACCAUCGCCCAUCAAAGUCCCUGUGUUACCAUCUCUCCUGCUGCUUAUUUGUCUUGUCAUUUCAUGUACAUCUGACUUUAUCUGGCGUGAAGCUCUAUUAAAAGAGAUAAUUAACUUGCAAUUGCAUCCAGUCUUCUUUUCCGUGACACUUAUAUCCAGUGAUGGCCCUCAUGCCUCUCCACACCUCCCUCAAGUUAUUUUGUUGCAAGCUAUUUCCCAAU